rnacentral:rRNA from 1 species
GAUGAACGCUGGCGGCGUGCUUAACACAUGCAAGUCGAACGGUGAACGAGGGAGCUUGCUCCCUCCGGAUCAGUGGCGAACGGGUGAGUAACACGUGAGCAAUCUGCCCUGGACUCUGGGAUAAGCGUUGGAAACGACGUCUAAUACCGGAUACGAGACGCGAAGGCAUCUUCAGCGUCUGGAAAGAACUUCGGUCCAGGAUGAGCUCGCGGCCUAUCAGGUAGGUGGUGAGGUAACGGCUCACCAAGCCUACGACGGGUAGCCGGCCGGAGAGGGUGACCGGCCACACUGGGACUGAGACACGGCCCAGACUCCUACGGGAGGCAGCAGUGGAGAAUAUUGCACAAUGGGCGCAAGCCUGAUGCAGCAACGCCGCGUGAGGGACGACGGCCUUCGGGUUGUAAACCUCUUUUAGCAGGGAAGAAGCGAAAGUGACGGUACCUGCAGAAAAAGCACCGGCUAACUACGUGCCAGCCGCCGCCGUAAGAC